CCUACGGGGGGCAGCAGUGAGGAAUAUUGGUCAAUGGACGAGAGUCUGAACCAGCCAAGUAGCGUGAAGGAUGACUGCCCUAUGGGUUGUAAACUUCUUUUAUAUGGGAAUAAAACGUUCCACGUGUGGGAUUUUGUAUGUACCAUAUGAAUAAGGAUCGGCUAACUCCGUGCCAGCAGCCGCGGUAAUACGGAGGAUCCGAGCGUUAUCCGGAUUUAUUGGGUUUAAAGGGAGCGUAGGUGGAUUGUUAAGUCAGUUGUGAAAGUUUGCGGCUCAACCGUAAAAUUGCAGUUGAAACUGGCAGUCUUGAGUACAGUAGAGGUGGGCGGAAUUCGUGGUGUAGCGGUGAAAUGCUUAGAUAUCACGAAGAACUCCGAUCGCGAAGGCAGUUCACUGGACUGCAACUGACACUGAGGCUCGAAAGUGUGGGUAUCAAACAGGAUUAGAUACCCUUGUAGUC
rnacentral:rRNA from 1 species